UCCAAAGAAUUUCCCUGGGAGUCUUAGCAAACUUGGAACCACUUCAUUGUUCCAUCGGGAGAUACUGCAAAGCCUACGUCGGAGAGGGCGGGCGGACCCGCGGCAGGGAGGGGCGGAAUCCCGGAGCUGCUGCGCCCAGUGCCAAGCUCGGUUGGACUUCCUGUGAGUCAGCCGUGAGGGUCUAGACAGAGGGACCACUCCUCCUCUCUCCACCAAAUCCUCAGCCCAGGAUGCCGCUGUGGUGUCACCUAAGACUCCGGGGGGCCGAACCUGAUGUUCUGGUCGGUAUGGGGCCAGGAGUGGCGCACUGGGGUUAGAAAGCAUCAGCUUCAAGCAGAAACCUGGCAACCGCAGCAAUUCCUCCCACCAGAAAGCCCUCCCAGUGGAGGAGGUCUCCUGCAAAGAGUGACAUCCCCUUCUCAAUCUCCACCUCAGGGAGGAGUCCCGCCCUGGGAAGGAAUGUCAGGUGCAGAGACGCAUACUUGGGUAAGAAUACUAGUACUUCCAACUUUUCCCUACAAGAAUGAAACCGAAAACACAGAAAAUUUCUCCUGGGAAUGAAGAAAGACCUAAUGAGAUGCUGGUGUGGAAAUAAUGAAGUUCCUUAGAGAAAGACAUACUGUUUUAAAUAUAAACAUGAGGUGUUUCUGAUAUAAUCAACUGGAAUCCUAGAUAAUUGCUAGAUUGCAAAGAAUUGCAAGAUUCUUUCUAACCCACACCUCCCAAAGAAAGGAAAGAAGAAAAGGAAUUAGAAAAAACUGGGAUACUUGGGUGGCUCAGCGGUUGAGCGUCUGUCUGCCUCAGGGCAUGAUCCUGGGAUCCUGGAUCCAGUACCAGUCCUGAGU